UCCCUGGUGGUCUAGUGGUUAGGAUGCGGCGCUCUCACCGCUGUGGCCCGGGUUCGAUCCCCGGUCAGGGAA